rnacentral:rRNA from 1 species
UACAGAGGUGGCAAGCGUUGUUCGGAAUUACUGGGCGUAAAGGGCGCGUAGGCGGCCCUCUAAGUCAGACGUGAAAUCCCCCGGCUUAACCUGGGAACUGCGUCUGAUACUGGAAGGCUUGAGUGCGGGAGAGGGAUGUGGAAUUCCAGGUGUAGCGGUGAAAUGCGUAGAUAUCUGGAGGAACACCGGUGGCGAAGGCGGCAUCCUGGACCGACACUGACGCUGAGGCGCGAAAGCUAGGGUAGCAAACGGG